GUACCAAACAGUGGAUAGUGAUAGUGUGACUAGUUGCUGAUGAUCCCCGAGCCUGUAGCUUCCAAAUGAGAUCUAUAAAACAGAGGAAACAAAGUACACGGAGUAAGCAUUAUAAUGCUUAGUAAGUUUUAAGCAGUGUCAACAGAUAACAAUCAAAUUAUAACAUAGUUGUUCGUAUUUUUAUUUCACUCUUCCUUCGGGCAUACCAUCCCUUUACCGAAUAUGCACAUCUCCUCAUAUAUAGUAGGCAGAUAAAUUCUCACUUGAUAGUGACCUCUUAUGAUCAUAGGUACAUUACAUAUUUUUUUUUCCUGACUUUCCACAUUGACCAAAUGCACAAUAAUCAUAGAACAGUCUUAUUGCUUUACUCACAUGUGCAUCACAUAACGACCUUGUGAUUUAGUCUAAAUCAAACUUAAAUAUAAUCUCAAAAUACAUACCUGACCAACUUAACGCAUUGAACGUAUUUAUUACCAAUUGUUACUGUGAAGUUGUAUAAUCUUACGCUUUACUUGAAUCUUCAGCAAAACCUUUAGUUCGGGGCUUACCUGGACAAAAUCUCCACACGUAGUCAUCGGGUCUUUAGAGCUCGGAUAUAGUACGAGCACGAAGCCUACGGACAUUAAUCAGUGAUAAUAUUCUCGCAUAAAGCCUGCGAGGUUUUAACCCGGAUAUAGUACUGACACAAAUGCCCUUCGGGACUUAUCACAUUUACACACUUUCACAUCCAUCACGUUGGCCACUCGGCCCUAUCACAUAUAUACACUUUCACAUUCAUCACAUUGGCCAUUCAGCCUUAUCACAUAUAUACACUUUCACAUUCAUCACAUCGGCCAUUAGGCCUUAUCACAUAUAUACACUUUCACAUUCAUCACAUUGGCCAUUCGGCCUUAUCACAUAUAUACACUUUCACAUUCAUCACAUCGGCCAUUAGGCCUUAUCACAUAUAUACACUUUCACAUUCAUCACAUCAGCUAUUAGGCCUUAUCACAUAUAUACACUUUCACAUUCAUCACAUCGGCCAUUAGGCCUUAUCACAUAUAUAUACACUUUCACAUUCAUCACAUUGGCCAUUCGGCCUUAUCACAUAUAUACACUUUCACAUUCAUCACAUCGGCCAUUAGGCCUUAUCACAUAUAUACACUUUCACAUUCAUCACAUCGACUAUUAGGCCUUAUCACAUAUAUACACUUUCACAUUCAUCACAUCGGCCAUUAGGCCUUAUCACAUAUAUAUACACUUUCACAUUCAUCACAUUGGCCAUUCGGCCUUAUCACAUAUAUACACUUUCACAUUCAUCACAUCGGCCAUUAGGCCUUAUCACAUAUAUACACUUUCACAUUCAUCACAUCGGCUAUUAGGCCUUAUCACAUAUAUACACUUUCACAUUCAUCACAUCGGCCAUUAGGCCUUAUCACAUAUAUACACUUUCACAUUUAUUCAAAUAUACUUCACAUACCACAUAUACUAUCAUGUACAGACUUGGUCUUGGCCGAAUCUACAUCCAUCACUUUCCAAUGAAUAAUUCAAUUUUACGCCAUACUAUCAUUUCAUAUUCGAAUACUCAUAAACUUACAAUAUCACGAUUUAGAAUUCAAGUAUGGGUUUAAUCAAUAGCUUAUGAGCAACUAAAACAAGUUUUAUCCAUGUUUACAACAAAAUCACAUAUUUACUACGAGCUGUUUUCUUGAGAAAUGGUCACUAAAUCAUUUAUAAUCGGAGCUACAAGACUCCAAAUCACUUGCCGUUAAUUUUCCCUGAAUAUAGACUCAUAUAUCUUUCAUCCAUAAAGUUUUCAGAAUUUUAGGUUUGGCCAAUCAAUACCAGAUUUUUCUUAAAGUUUCCCCUGUUUCACUGUUUGACUAAUCUGACCAGUCUUCACUACGAAUCAAAAUUCUCAUUGUAAAGAAUUCAAAGUAUGUUCUAUUUGAUUUCAUUUGAAACUAUACUUAUUAAGGAGUCUAAGCAUAUAAAUUUUAUCUUGUAACCAUUUUUGUACAAAUUAUAGUGAUUUUCUUAAAACAGAACAGGGGAUUUCGGAGUUAUUCUGACACUGUCUCACACAACUUUAAAUAUCUCUUUAUAGGAAAUUCCUUUGCUUACACGGUUUCUUUUAUAAGAAACUAGACUCAUUAAUCUUUAAUUUCAUGUCUCAUUCAGCCUCUAAUUCAAGUCCAUAAAUUUAUGGUGAUUUUCUAAAGUCACGUUACUGCUGCUGUCCUAAGCAGACUAUUUCAAAUUACCCUUAAAUUCCCAAGCUCAAACACUUAAGAACUUACCAUUUGAGCUUAGAACAUAUCAUGGCCACAUCAUAUCUUAUUAAAUCAACUCAUCAUUUCCUAUUAUAAUUGAAUUUACUCAACGUUUAAUCACUUAAAACUUACCUCGGAAGUGGUCGACGACUAGAUAUCCACGGCUAUUCGUUUACUUUCUCUUUAUCCAAAAUUGCCCCUCUAUGCUCUUGAGUUUAACUUAUUUGAAGUCUUCUUUUGCCGAAUGCCCUAAGCUCAAAGGUUUCUAUUUUGUUUCUCAACUCACGGCAAGAAGAAGAAGAAAUGGCCUUGUUAUUUUC
rnacentral:lncRNA from 1 species